GCUUGCUUCACUGUCCGUCACUGGUGUGAUGGGUUUCUACCUUCUGAAUAACCGGCAUGUCAUUAAUUUGGUGCGCCGGGGAAGCAGAACUAUUACCUUGAAAAAAUUAGAGUGCUUAAAGCAGGCUAUCGCCUGAAUAGAUUAGCAUGGAAUAAUAAAAUAGGACGGCAUCGGUUCUAUUUUGUUGGUUUCUAGGAUCACCGUA
rnacentral:rRNA from 1 species